UAAAGAAUUAUCGCUGAUAGAUGGGCAUGCGUUCCAUUAGAUAGUUGGUGAGGUAACGGCUCACCAAGUCCACGAUGGAUAGGGGUUCUGAGAGGAAGGUCCCCCACACUGGUACUGAGACACGGACCAGACUCCUACGGGAGGCAGCAGUGAGGAAUAUUGGUCAAUGGGCGAGAGCCUGAACCAGCCAAGUCGCGUGAAGGAUGAAGGAUCUAUGGUUUGUAAACUUCUUUUAUAUGGGAAUAAAGUGAGGAACGUGUUCCUUUUUGUAUGUACCAUAUGAAUAAGCAUCGGCUAACUCCGUGCCAGCAGCCGCGGUAAUACGGAGGAUGCGAGCGUUAUCCGGAUUUAUUGGGUUUAAAGGGUGCGUAGGUGGUUAAUUAAGUCAGCGGUGAAAGUUUGUGGCUCAACCAUAAAAUUGCCGUUGAAACUGGUUGACUUGAGUAUAUUUGAGGUAGGCGGAAUGCGUGGUGUAGCGGUGAAAUGCAUAGAUAUCACGCAGAACUCCGAUUGCGAAGGCAGCUUACUAAACUAUAACUGACGCUGAAGCACGAAAGCGUGGGGAUCAAACAGGAUUAGAUACCCUGGUAGUCCACGCAGUAAACGAUGAUUACUAGCUGUUUGCGAUACACAGUAA
rnacentral:rRNA from 1 species